CACUCAUUCUCUGUCUCUCUCUGUCUCUCUCUCUCUGUCUCUCUCUCUCCCUCUCUCUCUCUCUGUCUCUCAAAAAAGAAAGAAUAAUGACUAAUAUAUAGCAGUAUAUAAUUGAACAGUUGUGUUUUAGGAGUUCAAAGAAAGGGACAAUCAAGAAAGAUCCAUGGAGGAAUUGAAAAGGAAGCACAGCCUGGACUGAAGGAUGUCAUCUGGCCAGGCAGAUAAGAGACAGCAUAUGUUUCUGACCAAAGCAGCCUCUUGGGCAAAGGUCCAGAAGCAGGACAAGUGGAGAGACAGGUCUGAGAGAGGGGUGUGUGCUGGAGAGAAAGGAAGAAGGAAGACGGAACAGGGUUGGAACUAGGCUUUUAUUUCCUUGCAUCACCUCACCUUCUCAUCCCUCCAAGCCUUUUCCUUCCUGCCUCAAGAGAGACAGAGCAUGAACGGGGGAGGGGCAGAGAGAGAG